AAAAAGGUUACAAGGUUUCCGUAGGUGAACCUGCGGAAGGAUCAUUACCGAGUGAGGGCCCUCUGGGUCCAACCUCCCACCCGUGUUUAUUUUACCUUGUUGCUUCGGCGGGCCCGCCUUAACUGGCCGCCGGGGGGCUUACGCCCCCGGGCCCGCGCCCGCCGAAGACACCCUCGAACUCUGUCUGAAGAUUGUAGUCUGAGUGAAAAUAUAAAUUAUUUAAAACUUUCAACAACGGAUCUCUUGGUUCCGGCAUCGAUGAAGAACGCAGCGAAAUGCGAUACGUAAUGUGAAUUGCAAAUUCANGUGAAUCAUCGAGUCUUUGAACGCACAUUGCGCCCCCUGGUAUUCCGGGGGGCAUGCCUGUCCGAGCGUCAUUGCUGCCCUCAAGCACGGCUUGUGUGUUGGGCCCCGUCCUCCGAUCCCGGGGGACGGGCCCGAAAGGCAGCGGCGGCACCGCGUCCGGUCCUCGAGCGUAUGGGGCUUUGUCACCCGCUCUGUAGGCCCGGCCGGCGCUUGCCGAUCAACCCAAAUUUUU
rnacentral:rRNA from 1 species